rnacentral:rRNA from 1 species
UUUAAUUGAUAUUUAAGUUUAAUUCGAUUUUUGUUUAAGUAUAGUAUAGAAAUUAUUAAAUUAAAGUAACUGAAUGGGGCAGUGAAAUAAUUGAAAUAUUCUCUAGCUAUUUUUUACUUUUUGUAUAAUGGAUAAUUAAAUUAAAUUUGUAUAGAAUUUUCUCGAAAUUAAUAGAUUUAUUUUAAUUUAUAUACUUAUGUUACAUAAUUUGAAUUAAAUUAAUAAUAGAAUUGAAAUAAUAGUCGGAGUUAAAGAUUUCUAGUUGGUAAAAAUACUAUUUUAAAAUUUCAUGAAUAAUUUGAUGUUGUAAUGAAAUAAAAAGAUAAAAGGAUAAACUUUUACUUUAGUAAAUAAUAAGUUUGUAGUUAAUUUAAAAUAUAAUAAAUAAAGUCUUAAAAUUAGAUUAAAGUUGGUUACACAUUAUUUAAAUAAAAUUUAUGAUUUAAUAAAACUUUUAAUUAAUUUUUUAUCUAAAAUUUUAUUCAUUAAAAGUUUGGUUUAAUGAUGAUAUUAGUAAAAUGAAACUUUAAAAAUAAAAUUAGUUUAAAUAAAUUAUAAGAACUUGACAAAAAUUUAUUGGACUGUUUAACAUAAACAUUUCUUUUUGAUUAUUUAGAAAGUAAAGCCUGCCCACUGAAAAGGAAUUAAAGGGCCGCGGUAUUAUGACCGUGCUAAGGUAGCAUAAUCAUUAGCCUCUUAAUUAGAGGAUGGUAUGAAUGGUUUAACAAAUAAAUAUUAUAUUUAAUUUUAAUGUAUAACUUAAAUUGUAAGUGAAAAUGCUUAUUUUGAGUUGUUAGACGAUAAGACCCUAUAGAGCUUGAUAUUAAUAAUUUAGUAAAAAUUAGAUGUAAUUUUACUAGUAUAAAUUAAUGUUUUAUUGGGGCAAUAAAAGAAUAAUAAAAUCUUCUUUAAAUUGAUUUUUAUUAAGUUUGGAUCUUUGGUGAAAGUAAAAAAGUUACCUUAGGGAUAACAGCGUUAUAAUUUUGGAGAGUUCUAAUCAAUAAAAUUGUUUGCGACCUCGAUGUUGAAUUAAAAAUUCUAAGUGGGGCAGAAUUUAUUUUAGACAGUCUGUUCGACUAAUAUAUUUUUACAUGAUUUGAGUUCAAAUCGGUGUGAGCCAGGUUGGUUUCUAUCUUCAAUAUAUAAGUUUUGUUUCUAGUACGAAAGGACCGUGACGAGAGUUUUUUAUUG